rnacentral:tRNA from 1 species
GCAUUGGUGGUUCAGGGUAGAAUCGUCACCUUCCAUGGGGGAGGCCCAGGUUCGAUCCCUGGUCAAUGUG